GCACUCUGAGUCAAAGCAAAAACGGAGGAGCCAAUAGUUGAUCUGGUCCCUCCCUCUCCCUUUCCACCUGCAGCACCACCAGCCGCAACCGAACAUGCGAGCAGCUACCAGUAGUAUGAGCAACAGCUGCAUUAGGUGCAUCAACUCUUCAGUGUCUUAUGUUGCUUCUCUUAAAAUAAACUUGAUGGUUUAGAAGUGGAACUACAUUACUGCAACUAUUAAAGUCGGAAAACUAACUCAUGGAAUUUUAUGAAUGUUUUUUAAUGUGAAUGUUUAUUUGACCCUUUAUAAUCUAGACAAUUUUAUUAUAAUCACUGUGAUAAUCGGUGGAAGGCUUGUUGGUUAGUGGCCUAAUAUGUGUUACCAAUAUUUGGUUGGUAUCUAAUAAUUGCUAAAUUAUGUUUGAUAGAUAUAUUGCACCAAGGCUGGGUGGUCACAUACAAAACAAGCCUUUUUUAUUUUAGGCAUCAUUGUUGGAUUUGUAUAAUUUUGAUUGUAUAACUAACAUGGCUUUCGGGUUGGAAUAUUUACCAUGUAUUAUCAUUUAUGAAACAUAGUUCUAAGAUUGAGUCAUGAUUGUUGCUAUUUUUCAUUCACCAAACAAACUUUGCGACACCUGACCCGAGUUAGUCAAGUCUGACUUUCCACUGUAGUAUUAUUUUUGCUGACACACUUAUGGAGCAAUACAGUCUUAUGCAAAUGCAAAUUAGCACUUUGAAAUGCAAAGAUGUCUAUUGUUCAUAUUAUUUUAUAUGAGGUAGCCCUGCACACAUCAUACGAAGAAGGUGAUAAUUUGCAAAUGCAAAUUAACAUUUUGAACUACAUAGAGGUAUGUUGUUCAUAUUAUUUCCUAUGAGGUAGUCCUACACACAUCAUAUGAAGAAGGUGAUGAUUUUGCUAUUUUAGUCAUGUUAAUUUGUAUCAAUCUUUUCCAUUCCGAUUUAGGGUGCACUAAUUUAUUUGGACAUGCAUAGCUAUAUAGAGCAAGCUAUGUAUGCUUACGUUAUCCAAAUUUGCUCAUUCACAUGGAAUACAUGUCCCCUUAGAGAAAUCUGGAGGGGACUUGUGGAAAUCCUAGGCUGUUAUUUGUAGACCAAGGUGGUACCUUGUUGGACCACUUGGGUUAUCAAGGGGUAGUAAUUCCACAACAUAAAUCUACAACACUGGAUCAUUUAAGUGAUUUAGGAUUAUGGUAUUUUGCUUUUAGCUACCGAGAAGUUGAUAUGAUAUAAUUACUUGUUUGCUGCUCUGUACGAAUGAAUGAUUUAUAUACUAUACCACAAGGUUCAAAGCAGCAUGGAUUUGCUCGCUCUAUUAGGUAAAAGUAUCUAAGUUUAUUUGGUAUUGAUGGCCUUUCUACCUCUAUUUCUGUAUACAUACAAUUUAGAUGGAUUUUAGGUGGAAUGAUUCUCUUGUUUAUUUGUUACAGUAAAAUGGAUCUUAAAUGUUCAUAGAAUGUAUUUCGGUUGUUUAUUCAAUAUUUAAUAAUCCAUUUUUUAUUUGAGCAUAAGGUUUAAACCUUAUGCUCAAAUAAAAAAUGGAUUAUUAAAUUUGACUGUUGCUUUUACAUUAAAAUUUUAAUACCGUUUUCAGUGAGAUGCCGGAAUAGUGCAAUUGAUUCAAAAGAUCAUGUAUUUCUAGCCAUGCCCAGCUCCUUACAGACUCCAACCAAUUAUCUUGAGUUGUCUAGCUCUUUGCGGACUCCAACCAAUUACCUUGAGCUAUUCAUAAUAUAUUCAUUCCGUAGCAACGUACGGGCGUUUAACUAGGGCGCGGUCCGCACGACGCGCGCCGCUGGACUGGCCGACCAGGCUCAAGGUGUUCCGGGCAACAUCCUGCUGGACUCGGUGUUCCGGGCCAAGGUCGCCGACUUCGGCCUUGCCAGGAUGCUGGCGCAGGCCGGGGCGCCAUAGACCAUGUCCGCCGUGGCCAGCUCAUUCGGCUACAUGGCUCCCGUUGAUUUCAUCUUCGCUCACUUUCUUUCUAUUCGAUUUUGGCCCCUGCAGAUUGCAAGAACGGGACUGCUAAGCAAGCUAAGAUUUCAUUUUUUUCUGGAUCAAUCUCAAAUUAGGAUUUCUCGGGGAGCGGAGGGUCGGCCAGGACCUGAUUGGGCUCCAGGGCGCGAUCUUUGAGCGCAGAUUUGGUGCCCGCGAUCUGCCUUGGAUUUGAUUUAAGAUUUGGGGAGAUCGGUUGUGUUCGCCCUGCGAGAUCCUAUUAUUUUCAUUCAGUGACUGAACCUGCCGAGACUGAAGCAAGGAGGGACAGAGCAAAAAACUCUCUUGAGAACUGGGCAUCCAAUCAGAAAGAUCAAGAAUCCUUUGCAAAAGCCUCCGAACCGGCGGCGGUGGUAGAAGUCGGUCUCGGGCCACGAUGGCGUCGAGCGCUGGCGGCGCGUCGUCGUCGCUGGUGAAGAACGAGCCCUACAUGCGUGCUGUCAAGAUCUACCUCAAGAGCCUAGACAUCCAAAUGGAGAAACAGCUAGCCAAGACAUGGAGAAGCACAACGGGUCGUAAGGGAGGACUGGGAGAUCGACCUCGCCAAGCUUCUAUCAACCAAAAGAAAAUCAUGCUCCUCAACAGAUAGCAGAACAUCCUAUUUGAAAUGAGUUUGUGAAUAAGUGGCGCACGACGAUAGCGGGCGAUUCAUAUCGCGGGUGGUUCCAGACGUGGGCACCGGGCGUGAGAUUUUUAAUGCCUACUGCUCGCUCCACAUGAUCAUUUAUCACUGGCUCCAGCAUGUCAUGCUGCUCAUGCUGCUGCAAGGGUGGCAAAUAAGAAGCUUGUCCACAUGUUCAUAGGUGAAGGACAGAUCUGAAUGGAGCUCGAUGGGUGCAGGUAGUACCAAUUGCACAUCUGGUGUCUCAAGAAGUUCACUAAGGAUUAUGGUAUGACCUUUUUCUUCCUGGCAAAAGCAUGUCAACUUUGUCGAUUCCCUCAUUUUUGUUAUCGAUUGAUUUGGAAAUUAUGCUGGUGAUGAAGGGAUUGUCUAUGUUUGGAAAGAAUGGUUCCAGAACAAAAUACCAUUAUAAUGAAAUAAUUAGUUAUUUAGACCUAUUUAUACCUGGUAAACUUAUGGGCUUCUUUACAACAAAAAAGGUUCUUAUGUUACAGUAGACACUAGCACAUACAACAGACUUCUUGUGAUGCUCCAAAGUUGAUGAAAGGAACCUGGGGCAAUAGCAUAAAAUGACUUGCAUAACCUUGGUUACCAAAAUAAGCUGAAUAACUAUGAGCACUCCCAUCUGUUUCGAAAGAAUUGAGAGCCACCUUCAUCCAUACAUGGAUUACCUAUUUCUCCAUGUCAGUUUGCAAAUAAUUCCAUUAAGGAGUGCCGGGGUUGCCGCUUUGUUGAAGCUCAAGUGUAAGCAGAGACGAAGCGUCGUGUGAAAAACUGAGAUGGAUAGGGAGUGGCCUCUCAUGUGUGUGCAUCAAGAGAAAAGGCACGUAUGAAAGAAUAUGCAAGAACUUCAGACCCGUACAGGAACAAGCAUUGCUGCAUUGGAAACAAUCUGGAAUGCAUUGGGCUUUAACGUGUCUGGGCGUAAGUGAAAGCUAAAUGUAUUCAUUCAACUUGUAGUAAAUUGUCUUGGUCAUCUUAUCACUACAGCUGAGCUGUUCAGUGCGCUUAGAGGUCGUCUUUACGACAGCAACAAAAAUUUAGUAAUGGCAACAUUGUCCACCAUUGGUGGUCUUGUAUCUGCUAUGGGACCUUCUGUUGAAAAGUCAAGCAAGGGUAUUUUGGCAGAUGUGCUGAAGUGUCUUGGUGACAAUAAGAAGCACAUGCGAGAAUGCACAUUGACUGCUCUAGAUUCGUUGGUUGCUGCAGCCCAACUUGAAAAGAUGGUUCCAUAUAUUAUAGUGUCUUUGGGUGAUCAGAAAACAGUUCAGAAGGGCGAAAAGAUCUCUUUGAUUGGUUGUCUAAGCAUGUUUCAAAAAUAGGUGAUUCAUCUGAGGCUUUGCCAUUGUUGAAGCCAUCUGCAUCUUCUUUGAUGGAUAAAUCUUCUAAAGUUCGCAAAGCUGCUGAAUCCUUUAUGAAUGAAAUUCUCAGGAUCUGUGGCCAAGAAAUGGUGGGACGGAAAUUGAAAGAUUUGCCAUCACCUACUUUGGCCAUUGUAUCAGAAAGGCUGAAACUGUCUACUUUGAAAGAUUUGCCAUCACCUACUUUGGCCAUUGUAUCAGAAAGGCUGAAACUGUCUACUGCACAUGAAGGAUUUUCUGAAUCUGUUAAGGUGGUGUCAACAAGCAUGAGUUUGCCAUCAAAAGCAGGUUUAAAGAACAAUAAACAUGGUCCUAACGAUCGUGGUUCUAAUGUGGGCAAACCUGUG